rnacentral:lncRNA from 1 species
GCGCAAGAAGGUCACCAAGCGCUACAUGGCUCACGACGAGUCUGGUGCUCUGCGCGUUGGCGACUUUGUGCGCCUGGACGGCACCCGCCCCCUGAGCAAGACCAAGCGCUUCUCGGUCACCGAGGUGCUGCGCAAGGCGGAUUAAGCGCUUCUGGCGGCGUCGUUGGAGCCAUACAGUUAUCCAAAUGUUGGUUUGGUAGCAGUCGCCAGCGCUGGCGCUCGUGGCGAGCAGCGGAGGCGCGGCAAUUUGUGGUGGCCACCAGCCGACACCGCUUGGCGGUCGGUCUGGAGCAGCCGUGGUGCUGCAAAGGCGUGAUGGCAGGAGCUGGUAUUGGAGCAGACCGGGGGGACACGGCUGCAAGCCGAGCUGCA